GCUGCGGUGGUCUAGUGGUAUGACGCUGGAAGAGCAAUCUGAAAUGCUUCAUUCACUAGAUCCCCUAAACGCGGAUGCCGGGCACCAUAACAAAAUGUGGAUGCUAGCCACAGCGGGGGGCUUUAGUGGAUGUUGAGGAUUGCUUCAACAGAGACGCCAGUUCGAAUCUGGCUCGCGGCA